GGAUUCCCGUCGAGUAAGAACUAGCCAUUCGCUCGUAGCGAGUCUUGGAGGGCUAAAGGUAACUUUAGUCUUUAAGCGUAGACAGUGAGGUAGCGGGCCGAAAGCCAAAUGGUUGAAGGGAUUGAGCUUCAUAAUGUUAGUAAAUCGAGAGGGCUGGUGCUUUAUGCAUAGCAGAAAGCUACACUCUACCUUUCGGUAAGGCGAGAAAGGUAAAGCCUCUCUGGAGUCAUAGACCU
rnacentral:ncRNA from 1 species